GUGGCACAAUUUCUGAUUAUUACAGGGAUAUAGUAGCAAUUGGAGCCUUUUCUGCAGCUUCUCAAGGAAUCUUCAUCUCGUGCUCGGCUGGGAAUGGUGGGCCAGGCUCUGGAUCCCUCUCCAACGUUGCACCAUGGAUAACUACUGUAGGCGCAGGGACCAUGGACCGUGAAUUCCCAGCAUAUAUUAGCAUUGGAAAUGGAAAAAAAUUCAAUGGAGUAUCACUUUACAGUGGAAAGGCAUUACCUAGUUCUGUGAUGCCACUGGUGUAUGCUGGAAAUGCCAGCCAAGCAUCAAAUGGCAAUUUAUGCACAAGUGGUAGUCUGAUUCCAGAAAAAGUUGCUGGGAAAAUUGUUGUAUGUGACCGAGGGAUGAAUGCAAGGGCACAGAAGGG
rnacentral:lncRNA from 1 species